rnacentral:rRNA from 1 species
GACGAACGCUGGCGGCGUGCUUAACACAUGCAAGUCGAACGGAAAGGCCCUGCUUUUGUGGGGUGCUCGAGUGGCGAACGGGUGAGUAACACGUGAGUAACCUGCCCUUGACUUUGGGAUAACUUCAGGAAACUGGGGCUAAUACCGGAUAGGAGCUCCUGCUGCAUGGUGGGGGUUGGAAAGUUUCGGCGGUUGGGGAUGGACUCGCGGCCUAUCAGCUUGUUGGUGGGGUAGUGGCUUACCAAGGCUUUGACGGGUAGCCGGCCUGAGAGGGUGACCGGCCACAUGGGGACUGAGAUACGGCCCAGACUCCUACGGGAGGCAACAGGGGGGAAUAUUGCACAAUGGGCGGAAGCCUGAUGCAGCAACGCCGCGUGCGGGAUGACGGCCUUCGGGUGGUAAACCGCUUUCGCCUGUGACGAAGCGUGAGUGACGGUAAUGGGUAAAGAAGCACCGGCUAACUACGU